AUUGAACGCUGGCGGCAUGCCUUACACAUGCAAGUCGAACGGUAACAGGGAGCUUGCUCCGCUGACGAGUGGCGAACGGGUGAGUAAUGUAUCGGAACGUACCUUUCAGUGGGGGAUAACGUAGCGAAAGUUACGCUAAUACCGCAUAUUCUGUGUGCAGGAAAGCAGGGGACCUUCGGGCCUUGCGCUGAUUGAGCGGCUGAUAUCAGAUUAGCUAGUUGGUGAGGUAAAGGCUCACCAAGGCGACGAUCUGUAGCGGGUCUGAGAGGAUGAUCCGCCACACUGGAACUGGGACACGGUCCAGACUCCUACGGGAGGCAGCAGUGGGGAAUUUUGGACAAUGGGAGCAACCCUGAUCCAGCCAUGCCGCGUGAGUGAAGAAGGCCUUCGGGUUGUAAAGCUCUUUCGGCCGGGAAAAAAUCGCAUGGGCUAAUACCCUGUGUGGAUGAUGGUACCGGAAUAAGAAGCACCGGCUAACUACGUGCCAGCCGCCGCAGUAA
rnacentral:rRNA from 1 species